CAGUAGCCGCGGUAAUACGUAGGUGGCAAGCGUUGUCCGGAAUUAUUAGGCGUAAAGGGCUCGCAGGCGGUUUCUUAAGUCUGAUGUGAAAGCCCCCGGCUCAACCGGGGAGGGUCAUUGGAAACUGGGAAACUUGAGUGCAGAAGAGGAGAGUGGAAUUCCACGUGUAGCGGUGAAAUGCGUAGAGAUGUGGAGGAACACCAGUGGCGAAGGCGACUCUCUGGUCUGUAACUGACGCUGAGGAGCGAAAGCGUGGGGAGCGAACAGGAUUAGAUACCCCAGUAGUCCCUGUCUCUUAUAC
rnacentral:rRNA from 1 species